rnacentral:lncRNA from 1 species
UUUUGGAUUUUAGAAAUUCAAAAGAAAAAAUCUCAUCUCAUAAGCAACAAUAUGAAAACCCAAACUGCUCUUCUCAUCUUUCAUUAGUACCGACUCACUGUAGCCACCGUCUCAGUCAAACCACGUACAAAUCUCUCAACGGUGAAACCACAAACCACAAACCACAAUCUCCUUCACAACCAUUCUUCAACAAGCAAGACCAAUAAUCUUCGGUGUUUCGUUUAAUUGGAGGCAAAGGAUCAGAAGAAGCUCUCACGGACCCAAUUCAGAUCCUAGCCCUUCACUAUCUAGGACUAUGAGUGAUGUUGUAUUGGUGACUUUGAACUUGACACAUGAUGAUGAAGAUUGGAACAUCAAAUUGAAAUAAGGUUAUUGAGGAUUCAAUUGCGUGCUCAUUUGGGUUGGCACCUAUACUUGCUAUUUUCUGGGCUUGAAUCUCCUUGAGGUAAUGGAACUACAGCUGCCAUCCUUUUUUGACAAUUUUGAUCCCUGGGCUGCUGCUGCUAAUUUCCAUAAGUACACAAGCACUAGCCAUUGCUAGGAUAUGUACCAACGUCCAAGGUGUAGACAAAAGAAAAAUGUGUAUGGCAUAAUUCAUAAUUGGCAUUGGCCAACAUAUGGUUGAGAUGCAAGAGAAGUUGGCAAAAACGGUUGCAGUUUAAAGGCAUAAAGACUUUGGACUAACAUGAUUGCUUAUAGGGGAUGCAGGUGUCUUGAAGCUCAAUUUAGAAAUGAGCUCAUAUACUUGGAUACAUAUUCGAUACUUGACUAAUUUGUACUUUGUUUUAUAACAAGUAAUCCAGGGAUCUGUACUCAACAGUUUAUUUUUAUAUAUCAAGCAUAUUGUUAUCA